AUUGAACGCUGGCGGCAUGCCUUACACAUGCAAGUCGAACGGUAACAGGUCUUCGGACGCUGACGAGUGGCGAACGGGUGAGUAAUACAUCGGAACGUGCCCGAUCGUGGGGGAUAACGGAGCGAAAGCUUUGCUAAUACCGCAUGCGAUCUACGGAUGAAAGCAGGGGACCGCAAGGCCUUGCGCGGACGGAGCGGCCGAUGGCAGAUUAGGUAGUUGGUGGGAUAAAAGCUUACCAAGCCGACGAUCUGUAGCUGGUCUGAGAGGACGACCAGCCACACUGGGACUGAGACACGGCCCAGACUCCUACGGGAGGCAGCAGUGGGGAAUUUUGGACAAUGGGCGAAAGCCUGAUCCAGCCAUGCCGCGUGCAGGAUGAAGGCCUUCGGGUUGUAAACUGCUUUUGUACGGAACGAAAAAACUCCUUCUAAUAAAGGGGGUCCAUGACGGUACCGUAAGAAUAAGCACCGGCUAACUACGUGCCAGCCGCCGCGGUAAAAC
rnacentral:rRNA from 1 species